UUCAUAAAAUUAUGUAAAAAAAAAAAAUAUUACUUUCAUACGAAUGUUUUAUUAAAAUGCUGAGUAACUGGUGUUUAUCCGCUUGUUGCCAAGUUAGCUAGCUAACACGUCAAUUCAACAUCUUUUCCAUGUUGGUUCAAUGUAAUGUAAUUGAAGUGACGUGGAAACAACGUUGAUUCGACCAGUGUGUGACCAGAUGGGGUGGACAUGAUAACUAGCUAGCAGGCGAUCUCAUCCUGUUUAUCGUAUGUUUAGAGAUGAACAACUAAACUAACUAAUCGUAGAUUCAGCAAUGGGUCAAUUGUGAAGAAUCUGACCGUUUUUAAGUCAUGAAUUGGUGAACUUGUUAGCUAGCUAAAGACAUGUCGCAAAUACUUAAAAAAUAUUUUCAGGAACUAAAGUGGGCACCUGAUCACGUUUCACUCCAUUGCAUUGCAUUGGCUUGGCAGGAGAAAACAGUCCUGCCCGACUCGUUUGGAGGAUGAAGGAUCCCACAACAACACCCUGCAGAUGUAAAUAACUUGUUGUGAACCUCCCAGGCACCAGGAUAAUCACCAUAUAUCCCAGGAUAUUGUUCAGGAGUGUUACAUCACAAUGUUAAAUAGAAAUAGAUUCACCCAUGUUAUUGUGUAUCAUGCAGAUUUGAUAGGACAUUGUAAUUUAUGAAGCUCAUUCUAAAAUACAGAUGUGAUGUCUGACCCAGGGGAUUGCACUUUGAACAAGUCUUCAAUUUAGACCACAAUUAGUUGAAUUAGGUGUUAGUGAAGGGCUGGAACAAAAAAUAAAAAAUAAACUCCGGUCCUGUCUAUAAAAAAUAUAAAAAACCUGUGGCUGAACAAGCUUAUGAAUGUUGGGGGUUAAUCUCCUUGAAAUCCCUCACUUGGUAAUUAUUUAUUUUGUACAAUGGACUGUGUUUGAAGGACUCAUGCACUGAUACAGGAAAAACAAUAAAAAAGUUAACAUUUAUUUAAAA